AGCUGAAAGAUUUCCCUCACCUUUUCCUUCUUGUUCCGGAAUCCCUGGAGGUUUGUCAUCAAACAUCCUCAUUCGUGACCCCCAAGGAAAAGUGCAGCAGCCUGAAUUGUGCUGAAGUGGGCAAAUUAAGGGAAUAAGGGCGUGCUGCAACCAUCAGCAGAAGUGUAAUUGGCUCUUCCUAUGUGCCUGCCAUCGCAAGCUUCACAGCAGAUAGAAAAUGAGAAACUAAUCCUCGUGCUGGCACCACUUUGGCUCUACAUUCACUCCUGUGUUGGAGGUGACUACUGUGUGCAUGCUGACCUCCUGCACGCAGCCAUGGGGCUCAUUUACUGAUGCUGGAAAUUCUGUCUCCUGGAGACCUGGCCAAUGUGAUCAGAACUCACAGGUGGUAUCGUACCAAAGGUUUGUUCAGAAAAAACAGCACAUUCAAGCCAGAAAGAGGAUGGAAAAGAGGACUGCAGAAGGGACCAGAAUACUUAACAGUCAGCAAAGCGAACAGGUCACUUGAUCAGGGAGGAAAUGUUGCAGGUCUUUGGGGAAGCUGAGUUGUGUGGUAUUAGCCAAGUUCGUUCGCAUUCAAGGAAACCCUCUGCCUGUAUUAUUUCCCUAGCACCAAGCCAACUAACAGAAACUGUAAGUUUGUAUGCGUUUAAAUAAACAAUAACUUUAUCUCCA
rnacentral:lncRNA from 1 species